rfam:Camelus ferus unplaced genomic scaffold scaffold782, whole genome shotgun sequence.
GAGGGUGUAGCUCAAGCAGUAGAGCGCGUGCUUAGCAGGCACAAGGUCCUGGGUUCAAUCCCCAGUACCUCCU